rnacentral:rRNA from 1 species
AGCGCCGGUAAGGUGAUAUGAACCGUUAUAACCGGCGAUACCCGAAUGGGGAAACCCAGUGUGACUCGUCACACUAUCAUUAACUGAAUCCAUAGGUUAAUGAGGCGAACCGGGGGAACUGAAACAUCUAAGUACCCCGAGGAAAAGAAAUCAACCGAGAUUCCCCCAGUAGCGGCGAGCGAACGGGGAGGAGCCCAGAGCCUGAAUCAGCAUGUGUGUUAGUGGAAGCGUCUGGAAAGGCGCGCGAUACAGGGUGACAGCCCCGUACACAAAAGCGCAUGUGCUGUGAGCUCGAUGAGUAGGGCGGGACACGUGGUAUCCUGUCUGAAUAUGGGGGGACCAUCCUCCAAGGCUAAAUACUCCUGACUGACCGAUAGUGAACCAGUACCGUGAGGGAAAGGCGAAAAGAACCCCGGCGAGGGGAGUGAAAAAGAACCUGAAACCGUGUACGUACAAGCAGUGGGAGCACCCUUUGGGUGUGACUGCGUACCUUUUGUAUAAUGGGUCAGCGACUUAUAUUCUGUAGCAAGGUUAACCGAAUAGGGGAGCCGGAGGGAAACCGAGUCUUAACCGGGCGUUAAGUUGCAGGGUAUAGACCCGAAACCCGGUGAUCUAGCCAUGGGCAGGUUGAAGGUUGGGUAACACUAACUGGAGGACCGAACCGACUAAUGUUGAAAAAUUAGCGGAUGACCUGUGGCUGGGGGUGAAAGGCCAAUCAAACCGGGAGAUAGCUGGUUCUCCCCGAAAGCUAUUUAGGUAGCGCCUCGUGAAUUCAUCUCCGGGGGUAGAGCACUGUUUCGGCUAGGGGGCCAUCCCGGCUUACCAACCCGAUGCAAACUGCGAAUACCGGAGAAUGUUAUCACGGGAGACACACGGCGGGUGCUAACGUCCGUCGUGAAGAGGGAAACAACCCAGACCGCCAGCUAAGGUCCCAAAGUCAUGGUUAAGUGGGAAACGAUGUGGGAAGGCCCAGACAGCCAGGAUGUUGGCUUAGAAGCAGCCAUCAUUUAAAGAAAGCGUAAUAGCUCACUGGUCGAGUCGGCCUGCGCGGAAGAUGUAACGGGGCUAAACCAUGCACCGAAGCUGCGGCAGCGACACUGUGUGUUGUUGGGUAGGGGAGCGUUCUGUAAGCCUGUGAAGGUGUGUCGUGAGGCAUGCUGGAGGUAUCAGAAGUGCGAAUGCUGACAUAAGUAACGAUAAAGCGGGUGAAAAGCCCGCUCGCCGGAAGACCAAGGGUUCCUGUCCAACGUUAAUCGGGGCAGGGUGAGUCGACCCCUAAGGCGAGGCCGAAAGGCGUAGUCGAUGGGAAACGGGUUAAUAUUCCCGUACUUGGUGUUACUGCGAAGGGGGGACGGAGAAGGCUAUGUUGGCCGGG